rnacentral:lncRNA from 1 species
CCCACAUUCAAGCUUUAGAAUCUCAAAGCUUGCUUUUGUCUGAACUGCUUUCACAAACAUCCACAAGUUACGAUCAGUUUUGGUUCUGAUCUAGCAGUUCUGGAGCAGAGUUAAGAGGGACAAAGGAAAACAAUCCGUUGAAAUAGAGAAGUGACAGGCAGUGAAAGAUACUUCUUAGAAAAUGUUGACUCCUCUGGAAUAAAGCACUGCUAUGAGGUAACUGUCCAUGAACAUAAAUGUGUACACUUUGUAUGCUGAAGUGAGUCCACAUGACUUUUAGUCACUUCUGGUCUAAGAGGUUGAGG